AUCACAUAGAAAGCUCAAAAAACAUAACGUUAACAUCAGAUUUUACUUCGCUGCCAGUAUUGUCACUAAAACAAAAGUCAACUAUGACGAGUUCCGAUAAAAUUGUUCUGCUGUUGGUCGCGAUUGCAAUGUGUUGCGUCUUGGUCAACUCAAUGGAUCCUAGACACUAUGAGUAUCAGGGAUGCAAUUGUCAAUGCGGAGGAGAACGUGGAGGCCAUUGUCAUUGUCCAUAUGAUAAACAAAUGCAAGGAGUGUACUGUAGGGAUGGAGGCAACCACCUCAUUUGCUUCCCUUUCGAAAAUGUUAAAUGCUGGUUUCCCUGUUGCUAAUUUUGUAUAUUUUGCUUCAAUUAUUAUCAUGGAAUAUAAAAUUUUGAAACGAAUUUGAUACAAUAAAACGCUAUCCUGGUGGUGGUAUGACCUGACCAUAAUUU